GACAGAGGGUGCAAACGUUGCUCGGAAUUACUGGGCGUAAAGCGCACGUAGGCGGCGCCGUAAGUCAGGGGUGAAAUCCCGGAGCUCAACUCCGGAGCUGCCCUUGAAACUGCAGUGCUAGAAUCCUGGAGAGGCGAGUGGAAUUCCGAGUGUAGAGGUGAAAUUCGUAGAUAUUCGGAAGAACACCAGUGGCGAAGGCGACUCGCUGGACAGGUAUUGACGCUGAGGUGCGAAAGCGUGGGGAGCAAACAGG
rnacentral:rRNA from 1 species